AGCGUUGGCUGGUCGAGCAACCGCAGUAGCCGCUCUCCUAUUCUAGGGGGCUGCGGAGUCCUAGAGGAGGUGAGCGGGCGGGUGAGUGGGUCUAGGUGAAGGGGGAGGAGGGGAACAGACGGAGAGGGAAAGGGAGUGCGCGAGCGAGGAGUGCUCGCGGUGGCCGCGGCACAACGUAGCGGUGGCGCCGGUGGCGGUGGCGGAGCGGAGUGACAGCACAGGGAGCGGAGGCGGCAACAGCAGGUGAAGCAGAGGCAGGUGUUUGCGCUCGACCCUCGGCGACGUCUCCCGCUUAGCUGGGCGGGGGAAACGAAGCUAGCUGCCGCGAAGACGCUGUUUGCAUCGGCAAGACGACGAUGAUUCGGGAGUAGCUCGGAAAUAACUCGAGGAGCUCGAAGCUCCGUUCGGUUGACUCCCUCAGGACCUAAUACCCCAGGAGCCCACAAGCCCGACACAUUAUACCCGACCUGACUACCCGGUACUUCUAUGUUCUAACUUCCGUAAGAGGGCACAGGCCUACCCUGAGAGGAAACGCACCUACCGUUCAAACUACGAGCCUACUCAUCAAAGGAAAGAGACAUUUGGCCGAGACAUGGUAGGAUCCGGGGAGGCCACAGAUAUAUUUGGCCUCCCAAAUCAGGCAUCUCCGAUAGUGUUUAGUGUAUCCCAUCUGUAGAUCCCAAAUCGGUAAUCCUAGAGCUCCAUCUAGAUCAGAACAUUGGGGAUAUGAGUAGUUCCAGUUAGUUCGUCCUUCAUCCCAAAAUGGAGGAAGUUCUCCCGGGCUUGGAUCCAUUUGUAGCACAGGGAACAGAGGACAAUGGAAGUUAGGAGUCUGCGUGUCAAGUCCUGGGGGAUGGACUCUAAACGGCCAAAACUGUGGCUGUAACCACGAAAGUAACUCUCAAGGAGAUAUAACAGCCGCUAUCCUAGCUACCUAGUAGAACAGUAGUUACUGCUAUAACGACGACCUCUCCGGAAUGGGAGUCCCGUCCAGGAGGUCGAGCCGCCAAAAUGGUAUCCGUGAGCGGGCUGGUAAUUCGGUCGCCGCCGUGGGUGUUAGCGACUUGUAGAACAGACAUAGUUAGAGCUUGUCAGGUUUUUCUACCCAGGCCGUCUAGGGCGAAGGAACUUGCUCGACGAUCUAACGUAGCGGCGGGAUCCCCAGUGUUGUUUGAUACUAGCCUAGCCCGAAUUUGGACUAGUCUCCCUUUAGUUCAGGGGUGUCUAGGGGGUAGUCCAUCACUAAAAACUCCUUGUUCGACUCUUGUAACGUAUAGCGGGAUUCAAUUCGUGGUCUAUACAAACCUAGAGACUCGGCCAAAGGGUUGGAGUCGCCCUCUGUUGUACAGACAGUUUGUGUCCUAGUUCGUAACUCGGGCUUUCGGGAAUC
rnacentral:rRNA from 1 species